rnacentral:rRNA from 1 species
AACAGAUUUACUUCGGUAAUGACGUUAGGAAAGCGAGCGGCGGAUGGGUGAGUAACACGUGGGGAACCCGCCCCAUAGUCUGGGAUACCACUUGGAAACAGGUGCUAAUACCGGAUAAGAAAGCAGAUCGCAUGAUCAGCUUUUAAAAGGCGGCGUAAGCUGUCGCUAUGGGAUGGCCCCGCGGUGCAUUAGCUAGUUGGUAAGGUAAAGGCUUACCAAGGCGAUGAUGCAUAGCCGAGUUGAGAGACUGAUCGGCCACAUUGGGACUGAGACACGGCCCAAACUCCUACGGGAGGCAGCAGUAGGGAAUCUUCCACAAUGGACGCAAGUCUGAUGGAGCAACGCCGCGUGAGUGAAGAAGGUUUUCGGAUCGUAAAGCUCUGUUGUUGGUGAA